GUCCUGGGACUUCUGAAUCCAGUCCUUGCAUGGUUAUGAUGACAGGGCCCUUGGGGAACAUCAAACUUGGAAACAGGAAGAGCCUAUUAUACUUGAAUCUCCGGGCAAUGUUUGUUUCCUUGGGAAUCCAAAAGAAGACUUCAAACUCUAAACCUUUGAGAGGUUUCUUACUGGUUUGGAACAUAGGGAAGAAUGGAAGUGUUUGAUGAAAUUGGGCAGAGAAAUCUUGACUGAGGAAGUUGGAGGAGUGCCAGUUUCUAGGGCAAGGUGGCAGAGAAGAAGGACCCGAGCUCACCUACUCUCAUGAAAAAAACAAAAUCACAACUAACAGCUGAACAAUCAUCAACAAAAAAGACUGGGAACCUACCACUAAAAAGAAGAGGCCAUAAUGAGACGGCUCUUUGGCAGAAGGAGAACAUGAGUUUUAGAUCUGUGGGUUCUGAGGAUUAUAACAUGGGAAGCAUGUUUCAAACUGACUAUCACAGAGUCAAGAGUGUCUUUGGAAAAUACAUCACACAUUCACCUGCUCAGAAUAGAAACAACCCAUAUAUUCCACAGUGAAGAAAGAAUAUCAAGAGAAGCAUUGUCAGAGCUUCUGGAUAUUUCUUACCAUAUGAGGAGUUAAGAAGUGAAUGUGGAAGCUUCAUGAAAUUCAAAUAUUUUAUUAAUAUAAUUGAAAUUGUUUUAUGAUUUGGGAACUUACUGAUAAAGCUUUGUAAAACUGUAGAUAAUAAACUAUAUUUAGUUACAUAUUGAAUAAGUCAUUUUCAUCAAAGUCACCCUGCUCUUUUAUUGUACUUACAAAGCUUUAUUACAACAAUAACAUUUGUAAUUUUUAUUCAUUGUUUAAUAUUGUUUGUUCCUUACUUAACUGUAAGCUCCAGGAAUGCAGGAACCAUAUUUUUUAGUUUAUCAUUGUAAACCUAGGAAAGUAUCCAGUACUUAAUAGCUGAUGAAUAAAUUUAUGAAUUUAAAAGACUGAAAAUUGGUAAUCACUUUGAAAAUCCAGAAUGUAUAGUUAUCAUUCUUACAUGUCAAAGUGAAAUUCAUUUAAUACUUUUGGAAAGUUCUAUGCAAGAACAUUGCUUACAUUCCCUGAGGUGUCAAUUGCCAUACCAAAGGUCUUGUUACCUGAAUACUAUGGCCUAAAUUUUCCUAUUCAAAGGCAGUAAACUCCUCUGUCAAUCUUUUUGAAAAUCCAGUUAAUGCUAAGUCUGGGGUGACACAUUCAACCUCAAAAUUUUAGCAACUUGGUGCUGGGUAAGGUGUUUAAAAUACUUUCAAUAAAUAACAAAGCUGGAAAGGCUGUGAAGAAAAGAGAAACCUUCUACACUGUUAGUGGGAAUGUAAGUUGGUGCAGCCACUAUUGGAAACAGCAUGGAGGCUACUCAGAAAACCAAAAAUAGCAUUACCAUAUGAUCUAGCAUCCCUACUCCUGGGCGUAUACCUAGACAAAACUAUAAUUCAAAAAGAUACAUAUAUGCACCAUAUGUCCAUAGUGGUACUGUUUAUACUAGUGAAAACAUGGCGACAACCUAAAUAUCCAUUUACAGGUGAAUAAAUAAGGAAGAUGUAGUAUAUAUAUACAAUGGAAUUCUACUCAGCCAUAAAAAGAACAAAAUAAUGCCAUUUGCAGCAACAGGGAUGCAACUAGAGAUUGUUAUACUAAGUUAAAUAAGUCAAGACAAAUACCGUAUGGUAUCACUUGUACAUAGAAUCUAAAAUUUGACACAAAUGAACAUAUCUACAAAACAGAAACAGACUCAGAUGUAGCUCAGACUUGUGGUUGUCAAGGGAGAGGUGGGGAAGGAGAGUGAUCUGGGCAUUUGGGGUUGUGUGAUGUAAACUACUGCAUUUAGAUAGCAUAUUAAGAAACAGAGACAGUACUUUGCCAACAAAGAUCCAUCUACCCAAGGCUAUGGUUUUUCCAGUAGUCAUGUAUGGAUGUGAGAGUUGGACUGUGAAGAAAGCUGAGUGCCGAAGAAUUAUGCUUUUCAACUGUGGUGUUGGAGAAGACUCUUGAGAGUCCCUUGGACUGCAAGGAGAUCCAACCAGUCCAUCCUAAAGGAGAUCAGUCCUGAGGGUUCGUUGGAAGGACUGAUGCUAAAGCUGAAACUCCAAUACUUUGGCCACCUCAUAGGGAAAAUUGACUCAUUGGAAAAGACCCUGAUCCUGGGAGGGACUGGGGGCAGGAGGAAAAGGGGAUGACAGAGGAUGAGAUGGCUGGAUGGCAUCACCGACUUGAUGGACAUAAGUUUGGGUAAACUCUGGGAGUUGGUGAUGGACAGGGAGGCUUGGCGUGCUGCAAUUCAUGGGGUCACAAAGAGUUGGACACGACUGAGCGACUGAACUGAACUAAACUGCAUUUAGAGUGGAUAAAGAGCAAGAUCCUACCUACCUAGGGAAUUAUAUCCAACUUCCCAGGGUAAACUACAAUGGAAAAGAAUAUUUAAAGAAGAAUAUAUGUGUAAAACUGUCCUGUACAGCAGAAAUUGGCACAACAUUGUGCCAAUCAACCAUACUUCAAUGAAAAAAAGAAAAUACUUUUUUUUGGCCAUAAUUAGCAUUCAAAUAUUAAUAUAUUUCUUUUUUUUUUCUUCAUAGCUACUACCUGUGCCUGUUAUGUGAUUGGCUAGUGGUUAAAAAUGAUUGGCACAUGUGAGCGCCCCACCCCUCACUGGCCCAGUUCCCAACAGCCCCUAGUAAAGGUGAUAUAUAGAGCAUGAUGUUUAUCCUCAAGAUUCCUUAAAUACCCAUACAUUCAUCUGAAAUACUCCUAGUCCUAUAACCCCAGGUACUUCUGGUGGCUGAAGAUCUUGGGAUGUGGGACCCUUGCCCAACCCAGAGCAGGUUUUCCAGCUUAGAGUCAUUCCCCUCUCCACCAACAUUCCUAUUGUUAAAGGGCAAUUUGUGGCCUUUUUAGAAAUAUUUGGCAAUUUCUCAGCAGUGUUAUCUUGGGAAAAUUUUUCUAAAGUGUGAAAAUGGGGGGAAAAAUGAUUGCAAGUCCUUUCAGUAUCAUGUUACAAAAGUGCUUCUCCAAUUGUAAUACACACCUAAAUAAACUGGUGAUACUUUUUAAAUGCAAAUCGUGAUUCCAUGCACCUGGAGUAGGGACCCAGAUUUUGGAAUGCUGCUUGACGAUACUACCCAUUUUGAACAGCAAUGUUUGGGGACAGAUUGUUGAAAGCCCUUGUAAAAGGCCACGCCAAUUUCUAGGGUGGUGGUUCUCAAACUCGGUUGCACGUUAGAACUGCUCAAAGAGGUUUUAAAAAAUCCUGUUGCUCAGGCCUUACUCAGUUUCCAAGUAGAUGGGAAUAUUGGGGGAUAAGACCUUAUCAUCAGUGUUUUUUAAAACUCCCUAGCUGUUUCUAAUAUAUUCUAAGGGAAUAUAACUUUGCUUACACAGCUGAUUAGGGCCAUUUUACAGUUCUGUAAAACUGCUAAGCUGUGAUGGUUUCAUUGCCCUAUAGGACUUUAACUAAUUUUGUAUCUAAUUUGGUACUUUAUUUCAGCUUUUUUUUCCUCCCCUACUGACUAAAAAAUUCUAAUUUCUCAAAUUUUAUUUUGUCAUCUUGCUAGCUCUCUCAUUAGUGAGUUAAGUAAAACUUUGACACACAAUGCUUCAAUGGUUUUCCUCUAUUUGAUCCAGUCUAUUAUCCUAAUUUCUCAGCCAGUAGCUACAUUUUCUCUUUUGUUUGAGCAAGAGCCAACCUUUUUUUGGAAGUUGCUAAUGAACACAUUAUAAAUUCAUAUGGUAUUUUGGGGUCUCCAACACCUCCUACCAUUCUUGGUACAACACUAAUCAAACCAACAAUUCAUUGCUAGUUUAGUCAUUAUUGACAAACUUGAUAUUAAAGUACAUUUUUGGAAAUCAGUUUACACUGUGACCUGUGCCAAUUCACUAUCAUUUGGGAGAUCGUUCCCUCUCUUAUUUACAAGAGAAAUGCCACAGCAUAGCUGUCAGCUGACUUGGACCUGGAGCUCUUUUCCUACAGUGGGGGUAAGUUGGCUCGAGUUCACCUGCAUUUCCCCUGCAGCUUCCCCUCAUGACUGAUGGCUCCCAUUUGCAGGAUGUCAGGCCAGGGUUUGAGCGACUGCCUGUAGCAAAGUAAAUUGGCCCACUUAGGGAUCAAACCUGUGAACUUGGCUUCAUCAGCACAGUAAUCUUAGCAGAGGCACGAACCUGCCACUUUAUCAGCUGAUUGAUUUCACUGAAAGUUAUGAUGAAAUUGUUCUGCAUCUCAGCUAAAGAAACACUGUGUUAGAGAUGCCUAAAGAUGAAUAUACUUUUGAUGUAAAAAAUGUAAAAUGUAAGAUUGAUGAAAAAUAAUUAAAAUUAUAUUUACAUAUUUUGAAAAAUCUCACACAAGUAAGGGCAUCUAUCCUGAGCUUAUAACAUAUCUCUUUAGUCUUCACCUUUAAUAUGAUAUUCUAAUUAAAAAAAAAGUAUGUUUUACCAACACAGCUAUAUUUAUUGCCAAUUUUCAUAAUAUACAGUAAAUAUUAAGAGAGACUAUAAAGACAUGCCUCAGUUGGAAGUCUUUCUCUUCAGUUUUAUCCUCUUGUAAAUGAUUCACUUAUUCUGAAGAUUACAUUUUUCGAAUAAUUGUGAAUAAGAAAAAUGUUUUCUAGUUUGAAACUCUCUGGCUUCAUAUGGUCCAGUCAUUGAAUGUCUUCCAUUAGGACAAGUAACCUUUUUGGAUAUCUAUGAUGAUAGGAAUUAACUGGGAAUCAUUUCUAGUCAAAUCUGUUGAGUAAGGUAUAGAUUUACAUUGUUUUAAUUAACUGCAGAUAUAACAUGUGACUUGAAAAAAAAUAUAACCGCUUUUCUCAAGUGGAUUGUAAACUAGUCUUGAAGGCUCUUUCCAAAAGGGAAUUUCAAAAUAUUUUAAGAUAAUGCAAAAGUUAAUGAAAUAAGUAAAACCUGUCAUGGUGCAUAUGAUAAAAGGCAUUAUUUAUCUUGAUAUUAACUUUCUGAAAAUAUAUUUUGUUCAGUUUUUUUUUGAUUCAUUACACAUAGAUACAAUAUUUCAGUACUUUUAAAAAGUAUUGACAUGACUGAAUCAAAUUUUUUUGCCUUAAUUGAUUAUUUUUGGAAAAACAAGAAGUUCACAUACUAAAUCUCAAAGGGAAAUAAAGGGGAGGACAGAAAGAUGAUGUUUUAUAAUACUUGAAUAAUUGUAAUUCAUUUUUUGUAGCAAAUGCUUAUGAUCAGUGAGUUCAAACAUUUAACUUUAUAAUGAAAUUUUAGCUAUGUUAUUAAUGAAAUGGUUAGUAUCAGUGUCUUUUGGAAUUAAAAUUAUUGUUCAAAUAUAAUGAACUAUUUGACAAAGAAUUUGUCGAUUUAUAUUUUCCCAAGCAGGGAAAAUAAUUGUGUUUUUCAAAAUAGUAACUGCUAACAGUGAAGUCUAAUGUAAU
ensembl:lincRNA